CCUGAUUGGUGGACGAGGCGGCUCCGCCCGGGAGGGGCGGGGCGAGGGCGGGCUCCCCCAGAGGUGUGAUCUCUCAACCCAAGAGAAGAGCAAGGUGGCUAAGCAAAGGCUAUGCAGUCGGCUUGUCUCCCUUAACCUCUGGCCAUCUCUCAUUCCUAACAAUGUAGUUUUGAGUCAGUUAACUUACCUCUUAGUGUUCCUCCUCUCCGUCUGUAAAAUAAAAAAUUUAAAAAUAAUAA